rnacentral:rRNA from 1 species
AAAGCGGAGGAAAAGAAACCAACAGGGAUUGCCCUAGUAACGGCGAGUGAAGCGGCAACAGCUCAAAUUUGAAAGCUGGCUCCGGCCCGCAUUGUAAUUUGCAGAGGAUGCUUUUGGCGAGGUGCCUUCCGAGUUCCCUGGAACGGGACGCCAUAGAGGGUGAGAGCCCCGUAUGGAUGGACACCAGACCUGUGUAAAGCUCCUUCAACGAGUCGAGUAGUUUGGGAAUGCUGCUCUAAAUGGGAGGUAAAUCUCUUCUAAAGCUAAAUACCGGCCAGAGACCGAUAGCGCACAAGUAGAGUGAUCGAAAGAUGAAAAGCACCUUGAAAAGGGGGUUAAACAGUACGUGAAAUUGUUGAAAGGGAAGCAUUUAUGACCAGACUUGCGCCGGGCAGCUCAUCAGGGGUUCUCCCCUGUGCACUCUGCCCGGCUCAGGCCAGCAUCGGUUCUCGUGGGAGGAUAAGAACAGUGGGAACGUGGCCCCCCUCCGGGGGGGUGUUAUAGCCCAUUGUACGAUACUCUCGUGGGGACCGAGGUUCGCGCUCCGCAAGGAUGCUGGCGUAAUGGUCAUCAAUGACCCGUCUUGA